rnacentral:rRNA from 1 species
ACUCCUACGGGAGGCAGCAGUGGGGAAUAUUGCACAAUGGGGGAAACCCUGAUGCAGCCAUGCCGCGUGUGUGAAGAAGGCCUUCGGGUUGUAAAGCACUUUCAGUAGGGGAGGAAGGUAGUGUAGUUAACACCUGCACUAUUUGACGUUACCUACAGAAGAAGCACCGGCUAACUCCGUGCCAGAGCCCGNGGGUAAUACGGAGGGUGCGAGCGUUAAUCGGAAUUACUGGGCGUAAAGCGCAUGCAGUCGG